GGGUUGUGAGGUUAAGCGACUAAGCGUACACGGUGGAUGCCCUGGCAGUCAGAGGCGAUGAAGGACGUGCUAAUCUGCGAUAAGCGUCGGUGAGGUGAUAUGAACCGUUAUAACCGGCGAUUUCCGAAUGGGGAAACCCAGUGUGAUUCGUCACACUAUCAUUAACUGAAUCCAUAGGUUAAUGAGGCGAACCGGGGGAACUGAAACAUCUAAGUACCCCGAGGAAAAGAAAUCAACCGAGAUUCCCCCAGUAGCGGCGAGCGAACGGGGAGGAGCCCAGAGCCUGAAUCAGUGUGUGUGUUAGUGGAAGCGUCUGGAAAGGCGUGCGAUACAGGGUGACAGCCCCGUACACAAAAAUGCACAUACUGUGAGCUCGAUGAGUAGGGCGGGACACGUGGUAUCCUGUCUGAAUAUGGGGGGACCAUCCUCCAAGGCUAAAUACUCCUGACUGACCGAUAGUGAACCAGUACCGUGAGGGAAAGGCGAAAAGAACCCCGGCGAGGGGAGUGAAAAAGAACCUGAAACCGUGUACGUACAAGCAGUGGGAGCCUCUUAAUGGGGUGACUGCGUACCUUUUGUAUAAUGGGUCAGCGACUUAUAUUCUGUAGCAAGGUUAACCGAAUAGGGGAGCCGAAGGGAAACCGAGUCUUAACUGGGCGUUAAGUUGCAGGGUAUAGACCCGAAACCCGGUGAUCUAGCCAUGGGCAGGUUGAAGGUUGGGUAACACUAACUGGAGGACCGAACCGACUAAUGUUGAAAAAUUAGCGGAUGACUUGUGGCUGGGGGUGAAAGGCCAAUCAAACCGGGAGAUAGCUGGUUCUCCCCGAAAGCUAUUUAGGUAGCGCCUCGUGAAUUCAUCUCCGGGGGUAGAGCACUGUUUCGGCAAGGGGGUCAUCCCGACUUACCAACCCGAUGCAAACUGCGAAUACCGGAGAAUGUUAUCACGGGAGACACACGGCGGGUGCUAACGUCCGUCGUGAAGAGGGAAACAACCCAGACCGCCAGCUAAGGUCCCAAAGUCAUGGUUAAGUGGGAAACGAUGUGGGAAGGCCCAGACAGCCAGGAUGUUGGCUUAGAAGCAGCCAUCAUUUAAAGAAAGCGUAAUAGCUCACUGGUCGAGUCGGCCUGCGCGGAAGAUGUAACGGGGCUAAACCAUGCACCGAAGCUGCGGCAGCGACACUAUGUGUUGUUGGGUAGGGGAGCGUUCUGUAAGCCUGUGAAGGUGUACUGUGAGGUAUGCUGGAGGUAUCAGAAGUGCGAAUGCUGACAUAAGUAACGAUAAAGCGGGUGAAAAGCCCGCUCGCCGGAAGACCAAGGGUUCCUGUCCAACGUUAAUCGGGGCAGGGUGAGUCGACCCCUAAGGCGAGGCCGAAAGGCGUAGUCGAUGGGAAACAGGUUAAUAUUCCUGUACUUGGUGUUACUGCGAAGGGGGGACGGAGAAGGCUAUGUUGGCCGGGCGACGGUUGUCCCGGUUUAAGCGUGUAGGCUGGUUUUCCAGGCAAAUCCGGAAAAUCAAGGCUGAGGCGUGAUGACGAGGCACUACGGUGCUGAAGCAACAAAUGCCCUGCUUCCAGGAAAAGCCUCUAAGCAUCAGGUAACAUCAAAUCGUACCCCAAACCGACACAGGUGGUCAGGUAGAGAAUACCAAGGCGCUUGAGAGAACUCGGGUGAAGGAACUAGGCAAAAUGGUGCCGUAACUUCGGGAGAAGGCACGCUGAUAUGUAGGUGAAGUCCCUCGCGGAUGGAGCUGAAAUCAGUCGAAGAUACCAGCUGGCUGCAACUGUUUAUUAAAAACACAGCACUGUGCAAACACGAAAGUGGACGUAUACGGUGUGACGCCUGCCCGGUGCCGGAAGGUUAAUUGAUGGGGUUAGCGGUAACGCGAAGCUCUUGAUCGAAGCCCCGGUAAACGGCGGCCGUAACUAUAACGGUCCUAAGGUAGCGAAAUUCCUUGUCGGGUAAGUUCCGACCUGCACGAAUGGCGUAAUGAUGGCCAGGCUGUCUCCACCCGAGACUCAGUGAAAUUGAACUCGCUGUGAAGAUGCAGUGUACCCGCGGCAAGACGGAAAGACCCCGUGAACCUUUACUAUAGCUUGACACUGAACAUUGAGCCUUGAUGUGUAGGAUAGGUGGGAGGCUUUGAAGUGUGGACGCCAGUCUGCAUGGAGCCGGCCUUGAAAUACCACCCUUUAAUGUUUGAUGUUCUAACGUUGGCCCCUGACCGGGGUUGCGGACAGUGUCUGGUGGGUAGUUUGACUGGGGCGGUCUCCUCCUAAAGAGUAACGGAGGAGCACGAAGGUUGGCUAAUCCUGGUCGGACAUCAGGAGGUUAGUGCAAUGGCAUAAGCCAGCUUGACUGCGAGCGUGACGGCGCGAGCAGGUGCGAAAGCAGGUCAUAGUGAUCCGGUGGUUCUGAAUGGAAGGGCCAUCGCUCAACGGAUAAAAGGUACUCCGGGGAUAACAGGCUGAUACCGCCCAAGAGUUCAUAUCGACGGCGGUGUUUGGCACCUCGAUGUCGGCUCAUCACAUCCUGGGGCUGAAGUAGGUCCCAAGGGUAUGGCUGUUCGCCAUUUAAAGUGGUACGCGAGCUGGGUUUAGAACGUCGUGAGACAGUUCGGUCCCUAUCUGCCGUGGGCGCUGGAGAACUGAGGGGGGCUGCUCCUAGUACGAGAGGACCGGAGUGGACGCAUCACUGGUGUUCGGGUUGUCAUGCCAAUGGCACUGCCCGGUAGCUAAAUGCGGAAGAGAUAAGUGCUGAAAGCAUCUAAGCACGAAACUUGCCCCGAGAUGAGUUCUCCCUGACUCCUUGAGAGUCCUGAAGGAACGUUGAAGACGACGACGUUGAUAGGCCGGGUGUGUAAGCGCAGCGAUGCGUUGAGCUAACCGGUACUAAUGAACCGUGAGGCUUAACCUUACAACGCCGAAG
rnacentral:rRNA from 1 species